ensembl:lncRNA
AGUUACAUGUGUUCCCCAUCCUGAUCCGCCCUCCCACCUCCCUCUCCACCCAAUUCCUCUGUGUCUUCCCAGUGCACCAGCCCAGAGCACUUGUCUCAUGCAUCCAACCUGGGCUGGUGAUCUGUUUCACUAUAGAUAUUUAUCUCCAUUUCAUUAGGGCUUUUUUUUCUUCUAGGUUUCUUAUUUUGUUCUUUCAUUUUGAACAUAUUCCUCUGUCAUCUUAUUUUGUGUGAUUGCUCUGUCGUCUCUGUGGAUUUAGGAGGGCCGGUUUACUGCCUGGGUCUUGAAGGAGCGUCCUUGUGUGGGAGUCUCUCUCUGCAGUCUUUGUGUGCCCGCUGGCUUUGGUGGGGUCUCAGAUUCUUGCAGCCCCACCUGUGUCCUGGACCCUCUGCGGUUGCUGCAUCCAGGCCAGGCCCCUUGCUAACAGUGAACCAGGGGAGGUUUCUAUUACCAUUCACUCACUUAUUCACCUAGUUACGUCAUGUAGAGACUAUUUUAAAUCUCAGAUGGUCACUUUUCAGCCACUCAGCAUGACCCUGACUUUAUUCUACUUACUAUCCGGCAGGGUGUGCCCAUUUAAUUCCAUCUUAAAACUGAAGACAGAUGUCAAGAACAGACUUUUGGACUCUGUGGGAGAAGGCGAGGGUGGGAUGAUCUGAGAGAAUAGCAUUGAAACGUGUAUAUUAUCAUAUGUGAAACAGAUCUCCAGUCCAGGUUGGAUGCAUGAGACAGGGUGCUCAGGGCUGGUGCACUGGGAUGACCCUGAGGGAUGGGAUAGGGAGGGAGGUGGGAGGGGGGUUCAGGAUGGGGGACACAUGUACAUCCAUGGCGGAUUCAUGUCAAUGUAUAGCAAAAACCACUACAAUAUUGUAAAGUAAUUAGCCUCCAAUUAAAAUAAAUAAAUUUAAAAAACCCCAAACUGAAGACAGAAUCAAAAGAAGAAUGAGUUUUGAAUGAGGUACAAUCUCUGUUGAUAUAGCCAAGAGAUAGUACUAUUUGAGAAACGGGUAUUUAUUCUGGCCAGAUGAUAUAAACUAGGACGCAGGGUACAAGCUGACCUGUGUGUUGGCGGUCACUCACACCAACACCCCAGGAGAGAUUUCUAUUAUCACGGACAGUGGACAGAACAGACUUUGGGUCAAGAUAGCUCUGGGCUUGAAUUCUCACCCUGUCACUUACAUGCUGCUCAGGCAAUACUCUCUGUGUGUGUAGGUGUGUGUGUGUGUUUAUAGGGGAGAUUUCCAGAAGUGGUUUUGCUGAUCAAAGGAUUAAUGCAUUUAUAAUUGACCAGUUGGACCAUAGUUCCUCCUCAUAGCGCUCUGUGUAAGACACCAGUUCUGUUUUAUUUGAUUCCUUUUCCCCAUUUCUUCUUCCAUCUCCACCACCAAGUAUCCUUCAUACAUUUUCUUUUUUUUUAGAUCUGUGGUUCCUUGAAAAGUAUUUAGUGUCUCUGUGUGUAUGCUUUUAAAUUAUACAUAAGACAGUGCACUGUAUAUUUCCCCUUUUCUUCUGCCAAGAUUGAAAAAUGGCACAGGCUGCUGGCUUCCUUUGCCAGCACCAGUCUGGCAAAACUACAGAUCUGAGGGAGAAACGUGGAUUUGAAGAGCUGACGCAGGGUCCUGCAAGGAGGCAUGAAGCUGAUCUGGGCUAUUCGGCGUGGGUGUGUGGAACAGGCCAGCUCUGCCCUGGAGCAGGGGAUGACUAGUUCUGGAACGGGCUGGGUAGGUUCCUAAGUUCUCCUCUUCCUCUCCUUUGCCCCUUCACCCCAGAAGCCGGAGAUGAGGUGCUCAGGUUCCGGAGGUAAUAGUGCGUGCGUGCUCAGUUGCUCAGUCCAACUGUGUGACCCCACGGACUGUAG